rnacentral:rRNA from 1 species
AUUGAACGCUGGCGGCAUGCCUUACACAUGCAAGUCGAACGGCAGCACGGGAGCAAUCCUGGUGGCGAGUGGCGAACGGGUGAGUAAUAUAUCGGAACGUGCCCGGUCGUGGGGGAUAACGUAGCGAAAGCUACGCUAAUACCGCAUACGAUCUACGGAUGAAAGCGGGGGGAUCGCAAGACCUCGCGCGAUUGGAGCGGCCGAUAUCAGAUUAGGUAGUUGGUGAGGUAAAGGCUCACCAAGCCGACGAUCUGUAGCUGGUCUGAGAGGACGACCAGCCACACUGGGACUGAGACACGGCCCAGACUCCUACGGGAGGCAGCAGUGGGGAAUAUUGGACAAUGGGCGAAAGCCUGAUCCAGCAAUGCCGCGUGAGUGAUGAAGGCCUUAGGGUUGUAAAGCUCUUUCACCGGUGAAGAUAAUGACGGUAACCGGAGAAGAAGCCCGGCUAACUUCGUGCCAGCA